CCCGGGCCUUGUACACACCGCCCGUCACACCAUGGGAGUGGGUUGCACCAGAAGUAGGUAGAUUAACCUUCGGGGGGUCGCUUACCACGGUGUGGUUCAUGACUGGGGUG
rnacentral:rRNA from 1 species